UUAAAAAGUAACAUGAGCAAACAAAGACUUAACUAAAUCUUAACUGGAUAAUUAAGUUUAACUGUAAGGAUCACAAUCCAAGCAGGUGUUUAUUUUAAAGAAAACAAAGAGACUUACAGGGAUGGCGUUUCGCCAUCCCCGGGCUACAAGCAGCUGCGACCCCCCAGCUUUCACUGGGGGGGUUGACGCUGCUUGUAGCUUUCUCUUUGUUUUCUUUAUAUAAAAGCAGGUAGUAAUGACCCACUUUGAUUUGAGUUUUUCAAAUAAAGUGAUCAACGGACAAAAGGUACGCUAGGGAUAACAGGCUAGUACGCGCUAAGAGUUCAUAUCGACGCGCGUGUUCGGCACCUCGAUGUUGGAUCAUCGCGUCCUAAGGCUGCAUAAGGUCUUAAGGGUUAGGCUGUUCGCCUAUUAAAGCGGUACGUGAUCUGAGUUCAGAACGUCGUGAGACAGUUCGGUUUCUAUCCGUGUUGACGUUAUGGAUCUAAUAAUCGACCCCCCCGGGGAUAGAUGGCCAGGCAUUAGCCUGGCUUUGGGGGGACUUACUAAAGAAGUCCCCUCCUAAUCGUGAGACUUACAGGGAGGGCUUAACGCCCUCCCCGGGCAACUAGCAGCUCGCAAGAGCUGCUAGUCCAGAAGAAUCAGCAAGCUGAUUCUUCUGCUAACCAAGAGACUAACAGGGAUGGCGUUUCGCCCUCCCCGGGCUACAAGCAGCUCAGCUGUUUGUAGUUUUCUCUUGGUUAGGCUAUCUCUAGGUUAGCGGAAGAAGCUUUAAGCUUCUUUUGGAGAAUGGAUCUUAGUUUAAAAUGUAUUGGGGGAUGAGUACGAAAGGACCAAUCACCUCUAAACCUCUGGUUUAUUUGUUGUUUAAAAAAAGCAUUGCAAAGAAGCUACGUUUAUAA
rnacentral:rRNA from 1 species